GUGCUCGCUUCGGCAGCACAUAUACUAAAACUGGAACGAUACAGAGAAGAUGAGCAUGGCCCCCUGUGCAAGGAUGACGUGCAAAUUCGUGAAGUGGUCCAUAUUUUU